CCAAGUUCCAGAAACCUUUGUAACUAACUAGUCCAGGUUGCUAAAUGUGGAGCUAGUACUGCGUAUCACUCGGUUCUCCUUAAUUCUUGUAUGAGAAGAGUACUCUCUUCCUCCUUGUCAUGUGCACUGUGGUUCCCACUGCAUGACCUCGGCCCAGGGGACGAGGUGUAGUCAGUUCCUGGCUCCAUAUUCAGUCGACAUUUAUAGAAGCUACCAGCAGGGGUCACAAUAAACACAUCCAACCAGCAAGUGUCCCCGGGCGGCAGCACCCAAACCAUGCAUCCCAGCUACACACUCUGGUAACACGACAGCGGUCUCAGUCUAGCCCGAGGAUCCAAGUGCCCCGACAGCGCUUGUGAUGGUCCUCCACUGGGAACACAAGUUCCACAGAGGGGAAUUCACCGACCAGGCGUUAUGGGUCCCCCACCCGUGCAGCACACGCGGACGGAAGCGUGUGCUCAGAGCGCUCAGAGCACCUGGAGAGAGGUGAGGAGCUGCCCCAGUCAUCUGUCAGUUUUAAAGAACCCAAAUCAGGGCGCAUGGGCUCACAUAGUAGGAUCUGUAACUGUGCAUUCCCCUCCCAAAACCCUCUUCAGGAAACGGCCUGGGAUUCCAGAGGCCACGGGGACGUUGUAGGGCGGGGGGAGUGGGUGACACCACAGGGCAGUCUCUAAAGCGCUCUGCUUCCUGGGGACCUCCUUCACCCCGCUGUUUCAAUUGUUCCUCUGCUAGAAACUGCUGAAGCUUUCGGACUCCUCUGUCUGCCUUGCCUCCCUUCACUGGCCUCGUCUCUGAAGCCAGGUGCCUUCCUCUUUCACGUGGGGCCCGCAGUCACCUUAUGUCUCCUACAAUUUAGCAUUUUGCCCAUCAAGGUCUGUCUUAUCAAUCCUCUUUACCGUCCGUGGCCACACAAGGCUUUGCGAGAGGGGGCCUCGGCACGGAGGUCCUCCCCUUUUUUGGUUCCCCAUUUCUUUCUGUCCAGGGCUGACAAAUCAGACACUUUUUGGAACCCCUCCUGUCUGUCCCCCCCCCCCAAGGUGGGGCAUACACUGGCACAGAGGGCAAUUUUAUUUCUCUUAGUGCCCCGUGGAGCAGGUGCACAGAAGAGGGAAAGACCACGGGCCUGAGGAUGGGCAGGUAACGUGGUGUGUCUGUGUCAGGCAGGGGCAUGUUAAGUCUGGAAGCUACGGGGCCUGGAACGGCAGGCUAAGGGAUUUUGACAAGGAUCACCUGAAAUGGCAGCAUCUGGGUGUUAGGGCCACAGAGAAUGCCCGUCGGGGAGCGACUUUGAUUCUCCCCACAGCCCUGUGAGUGGGGACAGCCAUCCCCGCCCUAAACCAGGUGAAGACAUUGAGACCAACAGAAUGUGGGAGUUUAUCACCGACAGGCAGAAGGAGCUUCUAGAAGACGAACUUCAGAAAGAAUGAAAAUGCCUCCAGAGGAGAGGUCUGAGACGAAAAGGAACGAGGAGCAAAUUCAUUAAUGAUGAUGAUGUCUAAUUUGGGGGUGGUUCUUAAAAGGUCAAGAUAAAGUACUGGCGAACAAAAACACGGAGUAACAGAGAGGGAACCGUGGUUAUUUAAGGGUUCUUAGGCUUUGUUUGAAGGGAGAUAGAUCUCUUGACUAAGCUUAGACUGUAAAAAUGUCCAGGGCAAUCUCAGAAAGAGUAGAAAUAGUGUCUAACUUCCAAACCAGGUAUAAAGAAAAGCAUAAAACUCAAUCCUUCAAAAAGAAAGCAAGGAAGGAGAAAAACAAUAGAAAGCGGGACAAACAGAAAAGUAUUAUUUGUAUAGAUAGAAACUACUCUGCUUUUGUUUAAGCAGAAAAGGAAUUUUCUAGAACAUUUUAGGUGACUCAUUGUGAUGGUUAAUUUUCUAUGUCAACCUGACUGGCUGAGGGAUGCCCAGGUAGCUGGUGGAACAUUAUUUCUGGGUCUGUCUGUGAAGGCGUUCCUGGAAGAGAUUGGCAUUUGGAUCCGUAGACUGAGGAUGGG
rnacentral:lncRNA from 1 species